ACAUGAAGCUGGAAUCGCUAGUAAUCGCGGAUCAGAAUGCCGCGGUGAAUACGUUCCCGGGUCUUGUACACACCGCCCGUCACACCAUGGGAGUCGGAAAUGCCCGAAGUCUGUGACCUAACCGUAAGGAAGGAGCAGCCGAAGGCAGGUCGGAUGACUGGGGUGAAGUCGUAACAAGGUAAC
rnacentral:rRNA from 1 species